AGGCUUGCUCUGAUCUUGAUAAAGGUUUGUAUAACACAUGCUUGCUCUGAUCUUGAUAAAGGUUUGUAUAACACAUGCUUGCUCUGAUCUUGAUAAAGGUUUGUAUAACACAUGCUUGCUCUGAUCUUGAUAAAGGUUUGUAUAACACAGGCUUGCACUGAUCUUGAUAAAGGUUUGUAUAAUACAGGCUUGCACUGAUCUUGAUAAAGGUUUGUAUAACACAGGCUUGUACUGAUCUUGAUAAAGGUUUGUAUAACACAGGCUUGCACUGAUCUUGAUAAAGGUUUGUAUAACACAGGCUUGCUCUGAUCUUGAUAAAGGUUUGUAUAACACAGGCUUGCUCUGAUCUUGAUAAAGGUUUUUAUCACACAGGCUUGCUCUGAUCUUGAUAAAGGUUUGUAUAACACAGGCUUGCUCUGAUCUUGAUAAAGGUUUGUAUAACACAGGCUUGCUCUGAUCUUGAUAAAGGUUUUUAUAACACAGGCUUGCUCUGAUCUUGUUUAAGACAAAAUCAACUAAAAGAUUUCUUGCAAAAAGAAAAGGAAAUUACAUCCUAUACCAAUUGUUUCCAUGUUUGGCUGUGGAACAAUGUGCUGCUAAGUCCUGGACCUUUUCAUUUAGUCCUUUUCCUUUCUUCCAUGACACCAGCUGAGAUUUCAGAUCCCAAAGUAUUGGGCCCUGU